GGAUGGGAGUGUCUCACGUUCACAGCCUGUUUCAGUCUGUUGUCAAAUCCCUUGAUGAAAGGUGAAAAAAAACGUACAGAAGAACCAAGUCCUACAGUUUCAAAUUCUUUCAAUCAAUUGGAUUUGUGUCAAAUUCUUGCAAUCAAUGGAAUUCAAUGGUUUUUCAAGCCCAUAAAUUCACAUACCGACGUUUCUUUUGAUAAGCUCGUAAGCUUACCUAAGCAUAAACUCACAUGCAUCUAGAGACCCGUCGAACAGAUUGAAGAAGAACAGGAUAUAAUGUCCAAAAGCUGGUGGUGUGCACAAUUAAGACAGUGAAGUUCUAAUUUGCAACCUUGGACCUACUUCAUUUGCAACUUUGGACCUACUUUGAACGAAAGCAGUGUUUGAAGGAGAUGGCGGUCAAGUUUCACACCUACAUGAAUGAUCGCAUUUGUAAGACAAGCUUCAAAACCAACAGCUGCAAAAUGUUGAAGAAAGAGAUAGAGAAAAAACAUGGAGAAAAAACAAAACCUAUACUCGAGCAUCGGUUUUACUUACCAGGUUUUAUUUUUCCCGGAGCUUUUUCAUAUUCAUCUAUUGCGACUGGAAUUUUAAGAUGCAGGAAAUGACUUUGGGCACUUAGAUUUUUAAUCUCGAAUUUGAUUUAGCUAUUUCGCAAUAUCCUUAGAGAAAGUAUGUAAGGGACCGGACAGAAAACUGAUUAUAGCAGUUGUACAAAAAUCACUCUUGAAGCCAUGCCACCGAUGGAUAUCAAUUUAUGCAUACCAUGUAAGGAUAAAUAAACGACAAUUGAAAUUUGAAUUGUAUCUAAGAUAUAUAUCUGCUCUAAUUCCAUUUAA